rnacentral:lncRNA from 1 species
AUCCUCCUUGCUCCAGCCAAAGGGACCAGAUCUUGCAGCUUCAGACGCGGCCUUCACAUCUGAGCUGGAGGCAUGGAAGAAUGAACUUGGCUAAUUAAUCCUAAGCCACAGCCGUCAAGCCUCCUGGCGUAUUAGUGGCUUUAUCAGUCUAAGAAGGAUGACUGUCUUCCCGCCCUUCACUAAUGUCUCUGCUCUGGGAGGAAUUUAAACCUCAGCUUUGAAUCACAAAUUUAGAAGGGAAACCAAUGAUGGGGAGAGUAAGUAGAAACCUUUCUCCUGAGAAAGGCUGCUGGCAGGAGCCAUUAGUGAUGGAUAGGCCCAGCUCCCAUUAAGCUAAUGGGUGUCAGAGAUGUAAACAGAGCUCGGAGUCUGUGCUUGGAGGCGAGGCUAAGAGAUUGGAUCACUCUAAGGCUCCACGUGUGCGCGGACUUGUGAUCCUAAAUAGACUCAGAAAGUCUGUUUGGCAAUUUUAAUGGAAAGAAAAAUUAAGCUCCAUGUACAGAUACAUGGUCUUCAGUAGGCAGGAAGGAAGGGUGUUUUCUUGACCUCCAGGUGGGAUUCAGGUCUGCCACCUGAACACUCACUGUUGGGAGAAACAGCAAGCCCAGUUCCACUGCAGAGGGUGGAGCCAGAGCACAGGGACGGUUCAGUGGAUGAAACCCUGGACCAACUUCUGCAAGAGGCGUGUCCAUCACUGCAAUGGACCUCACUGUUCCAAGUGGGCAACCUGCCUUAUCUUCAAAGGCAAUGGAAUUCUUGGUUUGGAGGGGACACAUUGGUGGCCGUGCUGAGGACAAGCAGACAGGUGUCCUCCCCUGAGAGUGUCACAGAGGCAGGUGUUGGCUCUGUGCAUCAGGCACAGAAAUGAGCACUUAGAGAAGCUCAAGCAUACUUUGUUGUUCUUUAUCACAAGUGGACAAACUUUUCCUAUACAGGGCUAGCUAGUGUGUAUUGCGUCUUUGGGGGCUUUCCAUCUCAGUUGUAAUUCCUGAAUUCUGCCAUUAUGGAGUGAAACUAGUGGACACAGAGGCACGUCCAUGUUUCAAUAAAACUUUAUUUUCACAAGCAGGGAGCCAGUUGGAUUUGGUUGUAGGUAGCGGAUUUCUGUCUCCUAUUUUACACCAUGAAAUUUAGAGCAGUUUGUUCAGUAGCAGUAGAGAACAUUAUAGAAUGAAUUUUCAAAGAAAUAAAGUUUCUGCUAUUUGGAUGCAGACCCCGCAAGGGCAGGUACUAGGUCUGGUUUAAAAACCAAUGUCUGUCCCUGUCGGGGCACCUGAAUGGGGGUGGAACGCUCAGUACGUAGAUUGUUCUUGUACACGUCCGCAUAAUUUGUAUUAAGUCUCAAGACCUGAGCACUUCUAAGUGUCUUAGUAUUUAGAAAUCAAUGAGAGGCAACUCGGAGGUGGUGAACGUGGUCAGGAAUGACUCGUGAGCUGGUCUUCUGUUUCCAUGUAUCUUGGAUGAGUAGCACCCUCUGGGUGGGCCGGGCUCUCACAGUGGGACAGAGCUGGGAGACCCACUCCGUCUUUCCCAGGGCAGAGGAGAGGGCACCCUGCAGCAGUACAGGCUGAUUAAAACACACACACACACACACACACUCUCACACACUCACACCUUCAACCACACAUCAGAUCUCCACUGUCCUUCAGGCCUUUUGAUCACAUUGAAGAGAGUGUCUGUUUGGUGCUAGGAAGUUUGUAGCACUUUUUGGAGAUGGAGCCAAACUCAGGCAUCAGGAGAAAAGGGUGGCUAGGAUUAGGAACUGUUCCUUUCUUGUAGUUACUUAUUUUCUACAGUUGCCUCCCCUCAUGCAAG